ensembl:snRNA U6 U6 spliceosomal RNA
GUGCUUGCUUCGGCAGCAUAUAUACUAAAAUUGGAACAAUACAGAGAAGAUCAACAUGGCCCUUGUACAAGGAUGACAUGCAAAUUAGUGAUGCAUUCCAUAUUUGU